rnacentral:rRNA from 1 species
UGAGUUUGAUCCUGGCUCAGGACGAACGCUGGCGGCGUGCCUAACACAUGCAAGUCGAACGGAGUCUAUCUUCCAGCUUGCUGGAAGAUAGUCUUAGUGGCGCGCGGGUGAGUAACACGUGGGCAAUCUGCCCGGAAGUCUGGGAUAACACCCCGAAAGGGGUGCUAAUACCGGAUACCUUCACGGAGUCGCAUGACUCUGUGAAGAAAGUUUUUUCGCUUCCGGAUGAGCCCGCGUCCCAUUAGCUAGUUGGUGAGGUAACGGCUCACCAAGGCUACGAUGGGUAGCUGGUCUGAGAGGACGAUCAGCCACACUGGAACUGAGACACGGUCCAGACUCCUACGGGAGGCAGCAGUGGGGAAUCUUGCGCAAUGGGCGAAAGCCUGACGCAGCAACGCCGCGUGAACGAUGAAGGCCUUCGGGUCGUAAAGUUCUGUCAGGGGGGACGAAGAUCUGACGGUACCCC